rnacentral:rRNA from 1 species
UUACGUAGGUGACCUGCGGAGGAUCAUUA